rnacentral:rRNA from 1 species
GACGAACGCUGGCGGCGUGCUUAACACAUGCAAGUCGAACGGAAAGGCCCUGCUUUUGUGGGGUGCUAGAGUGGCGAACGGGUGAGUAACACGUGAGUAACCUGCCCUUGACUUGGGGAUAACUUCAGGAAACUGGGGCUAAUACCGGAUAGGAGCUCCUGCUGCAUGGUGGGGGUUGGAAAGUUUCGGCGGUUGGGGAUGGACUCGCGGCUUAUCAGCUUGUUGGUGGGGUAGUGGCUUACCAAGGCUUUGACGGGUAGCCGGCCUGAGAGGGUGACCGGCCACAUUGGGACUGAGAUACGGCCCAGACUCCUACGGGAGGCAGCAGUGGGGAAUAUUGCACAAUGGGCGGAAGCCUGAUGCAGCAACGCCGCGUGCGGGAUGACGGCCUUCGGGUUAUAAACCGCUUUCGCCUGUGACGAAGCGUGAGUGACGGUAAUGGGUAAAGAAGCACCGGCUAACUACGUG